rnacentral:rRNA from 1 species
UACAGAGGGUGCGAGCGUUAAUCGGAAUUACUGGGCGUAAAGCGCACGUAGGUGGCGACGUAAGUCGGGUGUGAAAGCCCCGGGCUCAACCUGGGAAUUGCAUUCGAGACUGCAUUGCUGGAGUACGGAAGAGGAGGGCGGAAUUCCCGGUGUAGCGGUGAAGUGCGUAGAUAUCGGGAGGAACAUCAGUGGCGAAGGCGGCCCUCUGGUCCAGUACUGACACUCAAGUGCGAAAGCGUGGGGAGCAAACAGG